CCAGCCAAAGAGGAGGUGUUUGCGUCCUCUGGUGCCCUGGGCAUGCAGGGGAGGCCCUGGGCUGGGUUUUUCCUGCUCUCAGCACACUACAGAGAGCUCCAGGGCCCCCAGAGAGUUCCCCACAGCACUGCCCAUCCAACUGCACCAGCAUCUGCUGUCUGAGUGUAUUGUUAGAGCAAAUGAAGAAACGAGGACACACAAACCACGAUUCACUCAAACUCAUGCAGUAGAUUGGGGUGAAUUCUGCCCUGAGGUGUUUUCUCCUUGGAUCAUAUCACUCCUUUUUCAGUCCAUCAGCCCUGUGUGUUUUGCAGCCUUUCAGAUGCUCCCCUGACCCACAGCGAGGGAAUCCAGCUGUACCCAGGGCUCACAUGGAUGCUUCACUCCUUGCUGGGAGCCAUUAGCUCUAUCCCUAACCUGAGCCACAGUUUGGCCUCUUCCAGACCAAAACUCUCCACUCCUUGAAGCCAGGAACCUGUGUCCUUGGGUGAGGAGGAUCAGGAAAAGACAAGUUGGGGAAAAAUAUGAGCGGUGAACUCAGCACCAAGUGUGUGAUUUCCACAGAGGCCCCUCAGAUGCUUCCAAUCCUGGUGUUUUUUGGAGGGAGGGCAUAGUUUCGAGUAUUGAUUCAAAUGACCUCCACCAUUAAUCUUUGCAAGGGAUUUUUUUUAUUAUUCCUCCAAGAGAACAGGCAAUUUUAGCCACUGCAUCAUCCUGGGGAGAGAAAAGGGAUGUGGACAGCUUUGAAGGCACCCACCUCAAAGCCCGAGUUAUUCUCCCUGCUUUUCCCUCACCAGCUCAGCAGCAAGAACACAUAAAUUGUGUGUCAUAGCUGCCUUUUCAUCUGUCCCAGGAGUUAUAGACUGCACACAUAAGACAAUUCGUGUUCCUCUGCAUAAUGAGGUGCAGAGAGCAAUGCCCCAAAGAGUCCCCACUAGUGGCUUCUCUCCAGUUUCACAAUUCCAUCAGAAAUCCAUUUCCAAAUGCAUAAAAAUCCAUGGAUUUGUAAUAAAAUGAGCCCCCUAAAGCUCAGAAAACA